ensembl:snoRNA small nucleolar RNA SNORD88
GAUCUCCCAUGAUAUUUUGCACUGGGCUCUGAGUCUUUGAUGACCAUGGUGCUCUCACCCUUGACAAGGUGGGAACUGAGGAGGUC